rnacentral:miRNA from 1 species
ACAACAGCAUCUCUAAUACCUUGA